GACGAACCACCCAAACGUUAUUCGGAAUUACUGGGCUUAAAGGGUGCGUAGGCUGCGCUGUAAGUCGGGUGUGAAAUCCCUCAGCUUAACUGAGGAAUUGCGCCCGAUACUGCAGUGCUCGAGGGAGACAGGGGUCAGCGGAACUGAUGGUGGAGCGGUGAAAUGUGUUGAUAUCAUCAGGAACACCGGUGGCGAAAGCGGCUGACUGGGUCUCUUCUGACGCUGAGGCACGAAAGCUAGGGUAGCGAACGGG
rnacentral:rRNA from 1 species